GACUGAAGAAAACACAGAGGAAACAAAAGCAGAAGAAACACUCCCUCCAUGUGGACGUGGUCUGUUUCUGGAGAAGCUUGAGCUGGCAGUCGCGAGAGUAAGACAAAGGAUCGAGUGUCCGGGCGAGAAACACGUGCGCCAGAUUCAGCUCAUCUCUUAAUAAACGUUUUAUAAAAUAUAA
rnacentral:lncRNA from 1 species